rnacentral:pre_miRNA from 1 species
AGGAGGAACAGCCAACAGUGGCAGUGGCCAUCUCUGGAGCCCUGGAUUCAGCUCCUGCAGUAACUACAAAACUCUCAGUCUGCAGGGGCCUGGAUGCUCCAGGGACGG